GACGAACGCUGGCGGCGUGCUUAACACAUGCAAGUCGAACGGAAAGGCCCUGCUCUUGUGGGGUGCUCGAGUGGCGAACGGGUGAGUAAGACGUGAGUAACCUGCCAUUGACUUUGGGAUAACUUCAGGAAACUGGGGCUAAUACCGGCUAGGAGCUCCUGCUGCACGGUGGGGGUUGGUAAGUUUGGGCUGUUGGGGAUGGAUAUGCGGCUUAUCAGUUUGGUGGUGGGGUAGUGGCUUAGCAAGGCUUUGACGGGUAGCCGGCCUGAGAGUGUGACCGGCCACAUGGGGACUGAGAUACGACCCAGACUGCUACGGGAGACAGCGGUGGGGAAUAUUGCACAAUGGGCGGAAGCCUGAUGCAACAACGCCGCGUUCGGUAUGACGGCCUUCGGGUUGUAAACCGCUUUCGCCUGUGACGAAGCGUUAGUGACGGUAAUUGAUAAAGAAGCACCGGCUAACUACGUG
rnacentral:rRNA from 1 species